rnacentral:misc_RNA from 1 species
UCGUAACAAGGUCUCCGUUGGUGAACCAGCGGAGGGAUCAUUACCGAGUUUACAACUCCCAAACCCCUGUGAACAUACCAAUUGUUGCCUCGGCGGAUCAGCCCGCUCCCGGUAAAACGGGACGGCCCGCCAGAGGACCCCUAAACUCUGUUUCUAUAUGUAACUUCUGAGUAAAACCAUAAAUAAAUCAAAACUUUCAACAACGGAUCUCUUGGUUCUGGCAUCGAUGAAGAACGCAGCAAAAUGCGAUAAGUAAUGUGAAUUGCAGAAUUCAGUGAAUCAUCGAAUCUUUGAACGCACAUUGCGCCCGCCAGUAUUCUGGCGGGCAUGCCUGUUCGAGCGUCAUUUCAACCCUCAAGCCCAGCUUGGUGUUGGGACUCGCGAGUCAAAUCGCGUUCCCCAAAUUGAUUGGCGGUCACGUCGAGCUUCCAUAGCGUAGUAGUAAAACCCUCGUUACUGGUAAUCGUCGCGGCCACGCCGUUAAACCCCAACUUCUGAAUGUUGACCUCG